GACAGAGGGUGCAAACGUUGCUCGGAAUUACUGGGCGUAAAGCGCGUGUAGGCGGACCACCAAGUCGGACGUGAAAGCCCUGAGCUCAACUCAGGAACUGCAUCCGAAACUGGCGGUCUGGAGUAGUGGAGAGGAAAGCAGAAUUCCUGGUGUAGAGGUGAAAUUCGUAGAUAUUCGCAAGAACACCAGUGGCGAAGGCGGCUCACUGGCCCGAUACUGACGCUGAGGCACGAAAAGCGUGGGGAGCAAACAGGG
rnacentral:rRNA from 1 species